rnacentral:rRNA from 1 species
AUCGGCGAGUGAACAGGGAAAAGCCCAAAUUUGUAAUCUGGCACUUUUUACAAGUGUCCGAGUUGUAAUUUGUAGAGCUGUUAUCCGUACUGGACCAUGUACAAGUCUGUUGAAAAGCAGCAUCAUUGAAGGUGAAAAUCCUGUAGAUGAUAUGGACUACCAGUAUAUUUGUGAUACGGUUUCUAAGAGUCGAGUUGUUUGGGAAUGCAGCUCAAAGUGGGUGGUAAAUUCCAUCUAAGGCUAAAUAUAAGUGAGAGACCGAUAGCAAACAAGUACCGUGAGGGAAAGAUGAAAAGAACUUUGAAAAUAGAGUUAACAGUACGUGAAAUUGCUGAAAGGGAAACGUUUGAAGUUAGUUUUGUAUUCGUUGGAUCAGCUUCGCAAGGAGUGUAUUCUGAUGAUAAGCAAGUCAACAUCAGUCUAUGAGUGUUGGAUAAGGGUUUUGAGAAUGUAGCAAUUUAAUUGUGUUAUAGCUUGAGACUUGGAUACAAUGCUUUGGAUUGAGGAACGCGUAGUAAGCUUUGAGCGGAUUCGAAAGGAUCUCCUUACUAUGGAUGUUG